GACUACCUAGCUCAGUGGUUAGAGCAUCUGCCCAUGUUUGCAGAGGUCCCAGGUUCAAUUCCUAGUGUGUUUA